rnacentral:rRNA from 1 species
GCAGUCUUUGAUUGUCCGAGUUGUAAUCUAGAGAAGUGUUAUCCGCGCCGGACCGUGUACAAGUCUCCUGGAAUGGAGCGUCAUAGAGGGUGAGAAUCCCGUCUUUGACACGGACUACCGGGGCUUUGUGAUGCGCUCUCAAAGAGUCGAGUUGUUUGGGAAUGCAGCUCAAAAUGGGUGGUAAAUUCCAUCUAAAGCUAAAUAUUGGCGAGAGACCGAUAGCGAACAAGUACCGUGAGGGAAAGAUGAAAAACUUGGAAAGAGAGUUAAACAGUACGUGAAAUUGUUGAAAGGGAAACGCUUGAAGUCAGUCACGUUGGCUGGGAAUCAACCUUGCAAUUGCGGGGCGUACUUCCUAGUUGACGGGUCAGCAUCAAUUUUGACCGUUGGAUAAAGGUUAAGGGAAUGUGGCAUCCUCGGAUGUGUUAUAGCCCUUGGUCACAUACAACGGUUGGGAUUGAGGAACUCAGCACGCCGCAAGGCCGGGAUUUAUCCACGUACGUGCUUAGGAUGCUGGCAUAAUGGCUUUAAUCGACCCGUCUUGAAACACGGACCAAGGAGUCUAACAUGCCUGCGAGUGUUUGGGUGGAAAACCCGAGCGCGCAAUGAAAGUGAAAGUUGAGAUCCCUGUCGUGGGGAGCAUCGACGCCCGGAUCAGACCUUUUGUGACGAUUCCGCGGUAGAGCAUGUAUGUUGGGACCCGAAAGAUGGUGAACUAUGCCUGAAUAGGGUGAAGCCAGAGGAAACUCUGGUGGAAGCCUCGUAGCGGUUUCUGACGUGCAAAUCGAUCGUCGAAUUUGGGG